rnacentral:antisense_RNA from 1 species
UUACAGAAUCAUCACUGGAGCUAUCCCAUGGGACCCAGUGCUGUGUGUGUCCUGGAAACCACCUGAGGGAGGUCACAGCCCUUAUGCACCUACUGCUCACUCAGCCCCGUAAUGACUGUUCUUAACCCAUCUGUGGAUUGUGAAGUUUAUCUAGUUGUUUAUAACUUUUUUUUAGCGAAAUAGAAUAGAAAACAUCAAAGUGCAUACGUGUAGCAAAG